rnacentral:lncRNA from 1 species
CCUGCACAAGCCGGACUCUAGGCUACACUCCACUCCGAACCUCGAUCCUCGGAUCCACAUGCGUACUGGCGGAGUCUUGGGCCUCACCAGGUGACUGUGUGUCGUCUGUUUACAGAAUAGCUGACAUACCACCAUGCAAAAGGUUGCUCACUCUGAAGCUCUGGGAUAAAGGGAGGAGAGGCUCCUAUCUGCUGGCGGGGGUGUCUGGUCUGGCUGCCUCGACUGGCGACGACAACGACACGAUGUAAGACAAC